CUCCUUGAGCAAGCAGAAAAGGAUAAAUCAAAUCUUAAAUUAGAAUAUAAUGAGAAGCGUAAAGCUAAAGUUGCUGAAAUAUUUGAAGAGAAGACACAAGUAGAGGAGAAGAAACAGAUUAUUACUGAAGAUUAUGAGAAACUGAAACUCAAAGUAACUGAUAUGGAGGAGCAAUAUCUCAAGGAGAAGCAGAUUAUUAUUUUCGACAAUCAAAAUCUCAUUUCU